AGGCACACACACAAACACAUGCACACACAAGUGUACAUGCACACUCAUAACUGUGACAACGCACAUACAUGCACAUCGGGUUUGCAUUCCAAUCCGUCUGCCUUUUGUGAAGAUGACACUCCGGUGGUGACGUGUUCCCAGAUCUCGUGGAGGUGAAAUCUGAACAAUCUUCAAAAAGAGAAAAGCUCUUUUGAUCAGUCCUGGUACAGAUCUGCACUGGUGCCACUGAGGGUUAAGUGAUGUAGGCCGAACCAGGACCUGGAGUUUGAGUGACUGAGCUGCGAGUGGUCCCCAGUGUCCCUCUGCAUUAUGAGCUGCUUCCGAAGAACAACUGCUUUGAGUCGGGGACAAGAGCCGGGUCCCCAGAAUCUUCCCAGAGUAAGGGGAUCCUGCCCUGGGAGACAGUCGGACCACUUAGGGGUUGACUUCUGACCGGGCUUUCAUAACGAUGCCAAGCAGGCAACAAGGACUUCUCAAUGUGACGCGAUGGCAGGCUGCCCGCUGAACACCAGAGCCCGGGCAGAAUGAGACUCGCAGUGCUGCCCUGGAUGCAUGAAUAUGCAAACAGCAGGGGAAGUGAACCCAUGGAUCAAAAUGUGCUUUUUCCUGUAGCACAGAAAGCUGUUUUCAGACCUGCACUGAAGUUUGGGUAUUUCCCCGAAAUGUUCCAGAGGGGCUGGAUUUAGGAGCUCAACGUCUGAGUCAGUUGCUCCGGACUUUUUCCCUGAGCUUCUCCCGUCAGCCCCCAAAUAAAAUGUCCACAAAACAGUGACCCAUGUUAUUACACUGCUGGUAAUUUCCCAGAAACUUCCCAGUAAACCAGUGGCCAGACAGACAAGAAGAUUCUAGAGCUGGUGGCGAAUGUGUCAAUGUGCUGUAAACAAAAACUAAAAAGUUGGUCUGCAUUCUUCAGACCAGCUGGACUUCAACAGGUUAAUGUAAGAGCCCAUCUGAGCAAUAACUUUAUGAAAACUUGAUUUAAAUACCUCAAACGAGCUGAUCAGAAAAUGUUAAGUUCAGUUUAACAGCUGUGUAUCUGUUCCCCAAUAAUAAUAAAGAUAUGUCCUUCAUUAUCCCCUUUGCAAAAUGUUGCCAGGUGCCUAGCACGACAUUUCCUUGUUGCUGAUAAGUUUCUUUAUCUCGGCCUGUGACACAGUUUAUGGAAACUUAAUCCAGAAUCUCCUCCAGAUCUCUGUCCAAGGAAAACAAGCUCCGGUCCAAACAGUGAGACCGUUUCUACACACAUUAGAGUUAAGUAGCCAUGGGAAGCUUAUCCAUUAAAACAAAUAUGAUAAACUGGAUUUUAAUCAUCACUGCACACCAGUCUGUGUCACACACACACAUACACACACUGGCUGUAUACACAAACCCAGUGACCCUGCUGGGUUGCCAUAACUACCGCUCCAUGUCAACAAAACAUGUCCGCCGGCAUGAGACGUUUAUAUUGAACAUGGUGAAAGAGAGACAGAGGGGUCCGCCUGGAAGCAGCGUGGGCCGCCAUUCUGGAAACUAAUUUAGCAUAAAGGAAGUUCAAUCCAAACAUGUACAAAAUCAACCGCGGGACAACAAUGACGUUGUGCGUUUCCUGGAAUGCUCGGUGUCAAAACACGUCCAGCCCUGAUGAGCCGAUUCAUAUUCAUGAGCUGCCUGCGGUUUCA